rnacentral:rRNA from 1 species
GACGAACGCUGGCGGCGUGCCUAAUACAUGCAAGUCGAACGCAGUGGGGACUGGUGAGUAACACGUGGGUAACCUCCCAUCAGAGGGGAUAACACUUUGAAACAGGUGCUAAACCGAUCUUGCUGGAUGGACCCGCGUUGAAUUAGCUAGUGGGUGAGGUAACGGCUCACCAAGGCCACGAUGCAUAGCCGAUCUGAGAGGGUGAGCAGCCAGACGGGAACUGAGACACGGCCCAUACUCCUACGGGAGGCAGCAGUAGGGAAUAUUCGGCAAUGGACGAAAGUCUGACCGAGCAACGCCGCGUGAGUGAAGAAGGUUUUCGGAUCGUAAAACUCUGUUGUUAGAGAAGCGGUAUCUAACCAGAAAGCCACGGCUAACUACGUGCCAGCAGCCGCGGUAAUAC